rnacentral:sRNA from 2 species
GACCUUCUCUUUGGGGAGUAGCCAGCUUCCGGGCAAUCCGGAAGAGCCCGCGUCAACAUUCUCGGCAACAGCCGUGGCGCGGGUAGCCAACUUGGUAGGCGAGACCAUAGACGCAUCUGUGCUCCAGGUCGGGCGCAUUGCUGCGUCCAUGGACAUGCCCGACCCAGG